GAUGAACGCUGGCGGCGUGCCUAAUACAUGCAAGUCGAGCGAACAGAUAAGGAGCUUGCUCCUUUGACGUUAGCGGCGGACGGGUGAGUAACACGUGGGUACCCUACCUAUAAGACUGGAAUAACUCCGGGAAACCGGGUCUAAUGCAGGAUAACAUGUUGAACCGCAUGGUUCUACAGUGAAAGGCGGCUUUGCUGUCACUUAUAGAUGGACCCGGGCCGUAUUAUAUAGUUGGUGAGGUAACGGCUCACCAAGGCAACGAUACGUAGCCGACCUGAGAGGGUGAUCGGCCACACUGGAACUGAGACACGGUCCAGACUACUACGGGAGGCAGCAGUAGGGAAUCUGCCGCAAUGGGCGAAAGCCUGACGGAGCAACGCCGCGUGAGUGAUGACGGUCUUCGGAUCGUAAAACCCGGUUAUUAGGGAAGAACAAAUGCGUAAGUAACUGUGCGCGUCUUGACGGUACCUAAUCAGAAAGCCACGGCUAACUACGUG
rnacentral:rRNA from 1 species